rnacentral:rRNA from 1 species
CCUACGGGGGGCAGCAGUGGGGAAUAUUGGGCAAUGGACGCAAGUCUGACCCAGCAACGCCGCGUGAAGGAAGAAGGCUUUCGGGUUGUACACUUCUUUUAAGGGGGAAGAGCAGAAGACGGUACCCCUUGAAUAAGCCACGGCUAACUACGUGCCAGCAGCCGCGGUAAUACGUAGGUGGCAAGCGUUGUCCGGAUUUACUGGGUGUAAAGGGCGUGCAGCCGGAGAGGCAAGUCAGAUGUGAAAUCCGCGGGCUCAACUCGCGAACUGCAUUUGAAACUGCUUCCCUUGAGUAUCGGAGAGGUAAUCGGAAUUCCUAGUGUAGCGGUGAAAGGCGGAGAUAUUAGGAAGAACACCAGUGGCGAAGGCGGAUUACUGGACGACAACUGACGGUGAGGCGCGAAAGCGUGGGGAGCAAACAGGAUUAGAUACCCCUGUAGUC